CGCAUCUGUGCAUGCAGCAUAUCAAUAAGCGGAGGAAAAGAAACUAACAAGGAUUCCCUUAGUAACGGCGAGUGAAGCGGGAAGAGCUCAAAUUUGAAAUCUUCAAGGUUUUACCUUGACGAAUUGUAGUUUAAAGAAGUGUUUUCUGUUGAAGUUUUGGUAAAAGUUCUUUGGAAUAGGACAUCAUAGAGGGUGAGAAUCCCGUAUUUGACCAUUAUUUUCAGCUGUGUGAUACACUUUCAAAGAGUCGGAUUGUUUGGGAAUGCAGUCCAAAAUGGGUGGUAAAUUUCAUCUAAAGCUAAAUAUUGGCGAGAGACCGAUAGCGAACAAGUACCGUGAGGGAAAGAUGAAAAGAACUUUGAAAAGAGAGUUAAACAGUACGUGAAAUUGUCAAAAGGGAAGCGUUUGACACCAGUGUUGUUUUCUCGAAAAUCAAUUAAAAAGAGUUUAGAUUUUGUUGUGUAUUGACCUUAACAGCUUGCAUUUCAAUUUUCUUGCUUUUUUUAAUGCACUUUUCGUUUAACAAGUCAACAUCAGUUUCUUUUGUUGUAAAAAGGUCAUUGGAAGGUGGCUUUCUCUUCGGAGAAAGUGUUUAUAGCCUUUGACUCCUGCAAUCGGAGAGACUGAGGUCUGCAGCGUAGAUCCUUCGGGGUUAGAUACAUUUGUGCUAAGUUAUAGCUUUUUAUAGACAACUUGUUGACUAUGAUUAGUCUUGUAGCUUACUCGCUUAUGCUAUUUUACCUACGCUUAGGAUGUUGACACACGCGCGUGCUCG
rnacentral:rRNA from 1 species